rnacentral:lncRNA from 1 species
GAGGACACAGCCAGCACAAAUGCAGAGGCAUACAAGUGCCUGGUACAGCUGGCAUGCAGGGAUGGCUGAGGAACUGCGGGGGCAGCCGGUGGGAUCCAUCCGAGGCAGGGGCACAGAUAGAAAGCUGCUGAGAGACUACACUCUGAGGUCAGCCUUGACCCUGAGGCUCAUCUGGCUCUCCCUGUUCCUCUACAGCCAGGCAAACAGGAUUCCUGCAGACAAUGCUCGGAUGAUGAAAUCUGAGAGGCUGGAUGACAGAGAAACCCACAUGCAUACACACACACUUUAUAAAGCUUAGGAACAAAAGCACUUUAUAAUCUCCUUCUGAUGCCAAGUUUACAGUGCUUCCAGAGUCAACAAAGGUGACUCAGGAGAGUGCACCCAGCUCCUUUCAGCACUUAUUUAGCUCAGCCACCUGUGUGAGCUCAAAGACAAGGGUGCCGACUUCACCUGAGUAGACCCUGAGUCACGUGAUUUCUUGCUGGAGAUGAUUCAGCAAAGGAGCACUAACCUCUGAGACAAGGCUUCAGCUUCCUGAGCUCUGCUGACUCGCCUGGGACUUCCCUAAGCCCUUCUGGACCUAGAUGAGGGCAAAACUCAGUGGAACCUCAGAAGCCCUAAAAAAAUGAUAGACUUUCUUUUGUCUCAUCAUUAUCAGCAUUUUGGGAUGAUUUAGUCAGCCUAAGAAACCUGAUGGCAUGUUGACACCAGAAAACAGGUAGUAUAUAUUCCCAAACCAAGUUAAAAAAAAUUAAGAAAUAACAGCUGGAAUGCCUUUUAUUUUUUCUUUACACAAAUGUGUGUGUCAUCGUCAUAUGCCUUUUUUGUGUUAAUUUCUGAGGAUCCUGCCAGUGUGAAUACUCCAUUCUCUGCGAGUCGCAGGUCAGGCUGCUUUUGAGGCAAGCACACGUUAAGUAUUGAGCAGAAACAUUUGAAGCAAAGAUGAGAAAGACAGAAGGGGAAGCAAGAAAAAUAGUCUUCCCAGUGUGCCUAUUUGGGUGCAUAUAAAGUUACUUUUAGAUGUGCGAUUACUGGUUAAUGAUUUGGGGAAUUCUUUUCAAGUAGAAAUCCUGGGCUAAAAACUAAGUGUGCUCAAGCUACCCCCGCACCCACUGAUUCUGCACUCCAUGGGAAAAGUUCUCACAAGCAAGUCCUUUGUCCACUACCCACGUCUAUAGGAAAUGUUUGAACAGCUAUACACAAAGAACUCACAAGUCCACAACCUCGGGGGUGUUGCGGGUGGAGAGGGCAGUGGUAAAGGUGAUGACAGGGAGGGCCUGUGGGGACAGUAAUAUUAGAUUAGUGGUCAGAAGAUGCUGGAGCCUGCCUUGCCAGUCACACACUUUUAGAGGAAUGCUGGACAGUACACACCCUCCCCAACCCUGAAUGUAGGCCCUCGCUGACAUCACGCCAGAUGAAGCCCUGAGGUCUUUAACAUCUGUAACUCUAUGGCAUGUAACAUAAACAGGUGUCUGACCAGUUUCCCCAGAUAUAGAAUAAUAAUAAUACCUUUCAUUUAAAAAGGUAAGAGGGAAUUCAACAAGCUUUCCUUCUUAAAUAAAUCUCCAUCUCAGGAAGCCAUGGAAAGAUGCCCCUCCCACACUAAGACUGUAGAGAGAGGCACUGUGAAGGUCUGGCUUGGAGAUCUCAGCUCUUCCUGCCUCUCAGGGGGAAAGGGCAGAUCCAGCAGGCCGGGAAAGGAUCUCCCAGGGUCCCAAGGAGGCAGCAUGGGGCAAAGUCCAACAGUGAGGAUUCUCUCCUUCUCUGGUCUCUUUUCUGUUAAAAAUGCUUCUUUGGGGUACCCUUCAUUACUACCCUGGAGGUUGAAGGACACUUCUUGAGAAGGCAUAGAUACUCUUCAGGUAUGCUGAAGAAAUGAGUUGUGCUAAAACCACUGGUUAAUUUUGUCUGUGGCAAAAAAUCAUGAGGGUGACAUAGACUCCCAGGCCAGGAACCCGAGACUGGAUUUAAGAGAUGUGGCCAGGAUCCACAGGGGAGCUUGUAUGUGGCUCACAUCAUUAGCUCUUUCUGUAUAUUUGUAUUGUAAACCAUUUCCCUUCAUUUGUGAAGAUGGAGAUCACUUUUUCUAUACAGGCUAGAAAUGUUUCUUCAUACACACACGCUGAGCUUGUUUAUAAAAGAUAUUCAUUUAUAUGGUGGUUUUAACAACUUUUCCAUGUGGAAAUUUUAGACGACAGUAACACAGACCCUCAUGUACUCAUCACUCAGCCUUGAUGGUUACUGACACAUGCCCAAUAUUGUUUCAUCUGUUUCUCCCCACAACUCCUGGAUUAAUUUGAAAGAAAUCCUAGAAGUCACUUAAUCAGCAAAUACUCCAGUCUGUUGGUCCACUCCUUAUACAAUAGCCAGGGUGAUCUUUUACACAUGAAGUAGUGAUUGCAUCACUCAUGCUUGCUUGGAAUUCUUCAAAGACUUACGUUGGCACUUCAGAUAAAGUGUAGACUCCUUCGCGUGACCUAGGAUGUCCUUUGGGCUCUCACUGUUCCCUCAGCCUCCUCACCUGAAGCUCUCACUGCCCCACCCCUUUGCUCAUCACACUCCAACCCGCCUGCCAUUGAGCUACUCAAAUGGACUGCUCCUUUCUCAAGACCUCUGCACACUUUCAAGCCUCAUUUCUCUUCAGCCUUUAUUAAAUGUCAUCUCCUCCAGAUGGCCUCCUUUGGUGGCCCAGGUCAUGUUAGAUCUGCCUGUUAAAUAAAU